GAUGAACGCUAGCUACAGGCUUAACACAUGCAAGUCGAGGGGUAACAAGAGAAAAGCUUGCUUUUCUUGUUGACGACCGGCGCACGGGUGAGUAACGCGUAUCCAACCUGCCUAUAACUAGGGAAUAACCUUGCGAAAGUAAGACUAAUACCCUAUGAUUUCCUUUGAUGACAUCAGAUUAGGAAUAAAGAUUUAUCGGUUAUAGAUGGGGAUGCGUCUGAUUAGCUUGUUGGCGGGGUAACGGCCCACCAAGGCAACGAUCAGUAGGGGUUCUGGGAGGAAGGUCCCCCACAUUGGAACUGAGACACGGUCCAAACUCCUACGGGAGGCAGCAGUGAGGAAUAUUGGUCAAUGGGCGGAAGCUUGAACCAGCCAAGUAGCGUGCAGGAUGACGGCCCUAUGGGUUGUAAACUGCUUUUAUACAGGAAUAAAGUUAGCCACGUGUGGUUAUUUGUAGGUACUGUAUGAAUAAGGACCGGCUAAUUCCGUGCCAGCAGCCGCAGUAA
rnacentral:rRNA from 1 species